rnacentral:lncRNA from 1 species
CGAUCCUAAAGCAAUGAUUCUGCAUUCCUAACAGAAGGGAGGAAGGAAGGGCAUUCCAUUCCUUAUCCACUCCUGUUCCUAAGUUCUGUUUGCCUGUUCUAGCUUCUCAUGGGCAAGAGGCUAACAUGCCAGAGACUGCCUCCUUCGCUAGCAUGGAUGUUAAAAGAGCCGUCCCCACGUAACCUCGCCAUCCCCUCUCAGCAUAGAAAAACCACUGGGUGCAUUAAAAGGGCCAGCGGCUGUCUCUUUACCCACCCCAGGUUGUCAGGAUGUGUGUCUGAUAGAGCCUGUUGGCUGACUGCCAUUGACUCUCAUCUCUGGCUUGUAUAGACACGGAAUUAAAACCAUUUAUUUUGCCCUCCAGAGGCAGCCAGGUUUCCCUUCUAGUGCCUUCCAGCAUGCAGAUGUGCAGUUCACAUGGCUUGCCCCAUGGUUACUUUCCUGCUUUUCCUUUAAAGAGCUUAAAACAAAGCCCACUUCAGCAGGCGGAGUAGAGGACCGCCCCAGAUUCUCUUGACCCAAGAC